GAUGAACGCUGGCGGCGUGCUUAACACAUGCAAGUCGAACGAGAAGUGAAGACGGAAACCUUCGGGCGGAAGGCUUUAUUUCGAGUGGCGGACGGGUGAGUAACGCGUGGGUAACCUGCCUCAUACAGGGGGAUAACAGUUGGAAACGACUGUUAAUACCGCAUAAGACCACAGCACCGCAUGGUGCGGUGGUAAAAACUCCGGUGGUAUGAGAUGGACCCGCGUUCGAUUAGCCAGUUGGCGGGGUAACGGCCCACCAAAGCGACGAUCGAUAGCCGAUCUGAGAGGAUGACCGGCCACAUCGGGACUGAGACACGGCCCAAACUCCUACGGGAAGCAGCAGUGGGGAAUAUUGCACAAUGGGGGAAACCAUGAUGCAGCGCCGCCGCGUGAGUGAAGAAGUAUUUCGGUAUGUAAAGCUCUAUCAGCAGGGAAGAAAAUGACGGUACCUGAGUAAGAAGCCCCGGCUAACUACGUG
rnacentral:rRNA from 1 species